GUGCUCACUUUGGUAGCCCAUAUACUAAAAAUUGUAAUGAUACAGAGAUUGGCAUAGCCCCUGCUUAAGGAUGACACACAAAUUCAUUAAGCAUUCCAUAUUUUU
ensembl:snRNA U6 U6 spliceosomal RNA